UCAUAUGCUUGUCUCAAAGAUUAAGCCAUGCAUGUCUAAGUCCAACUAAACAAACAAGUGAAACCGCGAAUGGCUCAUUAAAUCAGUUACGUUUUCCAAGAUGUUAUUCCCGUUACACGGAUAACUGUGGUAAUUCUAGAGCUAAUACGUGCACCAAAGCCUCGACUCGCAAGGGAAGAGGCGCAUAUAUUAGACCAAGACCAAUGUCGUUUCGGCGACAACGAGAAGGUGACUCUGGAUAUACUGGCUGACCGCACGGCCCUGGCGCCGGCGGCGAAUCUUUCAAGUGUCUGCUCUAUCAACUGUCGACGGUAGGUUAGACGCCUACCGUGGUUGUAACGGGUGACGGGGAAUCAGGGUUCGAUUCCGGAGAGGGAGCCUGAGAAACGGCUACCACAUCCAAGGAAGGCAGCAGGCACGCAAAUUACCCACUCUCAGUACGAGGAGGUAGUGACGAAAAAUACCAAUACCGGACUCUUAUGAGGCCCGGCAAUUGGAAUGAGAACAAUCUAAAUCCUUUAGCGAGGAUCAAAUGGAGGGCAAGUCUGGUGCCAGCAGCCGCGGUAAUUCCAGCUCCAUUAGCGUAUAUUAAAGUUGUUGCGGUUAAAAAGCUCGUAGUUGGAUCUCUGUGCUGACGAGGGCGACGCGCGCGAGCGCGUAACGUCAGAUCGCGGCACACACACAUAGCCGAUGUCCGGCGGCGGCGGUGCCCUUAACCGGGCGCUCCCCACGGUGCGGCACGUUUACUUUGAAAAAAUGAGAGUGCUCAAAGCAGGGCGAGAACGCCCAUUGAAUAAUCUUGCAUGGAAUAAUGGAAUAGGACCUCGGUCUCAAUUCUGUUGGUCUUACAGACCUGAGGUAAUGAUUAAGAGGGACAGACGGGGGCAUUCGUAUUGCGGCGCUAGAGGUGAAAUUCUUGGACCGUCGCAAGACGAACUAAAGCGAAAGCAUUUGCCAAGAAUGUUUUCAUUAAUCAAGAACGAAAGUUAGAGGUUCGAAGGCGAUCAGAUACCGCCCUAGUUCUAACCAUAAACGAUGCCAACCAGCAAUCAGCCAGAGUUGCUAACAAUGACUCGGCUGGCGGCUUCCGGGAAACCAAAGUGUUUGGGUUCCGGGGGAAGUAUGGUUGCAAAGCUGAAACUUAAAGGAAUUGACGGAAGGGCACCACCAGGAGUGGAGCCUGCGGCUUAAUUUGACUCAACACGGGAAAACUCACCCGGCCCGGACACUAGGAGGAUUGACAGACUGACUAGCUCUUUCUUGAUUCAGUGGGUGGUGGUGCAUGGCCGUUCUUAGUUGGUGGAGCGAUUUGUCUGGUUAAUUCCGAUAACGAACGAGACUCUAGCCUACUAGUUAGCCGGCCCGGCCGUUCCGCGUCCGGGCAGCGAGCUUCUUAGAGGGACAGACGGCGAGUAAGCCGUACGAGAUAGAGCAAUAACAGGUCUGUGAUGCCCUUAGAUGUCCGGGGCCGCACGCGCGCUACACUGAAGUGAUCAGCACGCUAGCAAGCCCGCUCCGAGAGGAGCGGGUAACCGUUUGAACCCCCUUCAUGAUAGGGAUUGAGCUUUGUAACUAUUGCUCAUGAACGAGGAAUUCCCAGUAGGCGUGAGUCAUUACCUUACGCCGAUUACGUCCCUGCCCUUUGUACACACCGCCCGUCGCUACUACCGAUUGAAUGGCAGAGUGAGGUCUUCGGACAGGCUGCCGGAGCCGGCCUCGGCUGGCACCGGACUGUGCUUGAAAGAUGCCCGAACUCGAUCAUUUAGAGGAAGUAAAAGUCGUAACAAGGUUUCCGU
rnacentral:rRNA from 1 species